AGACCCGAAACCCGGUGAUCUAGCCAUGGGCAGGUUGAAGGUUGGGUAACACUAACUGGAGGACCGAACCGACUAAUGUUGAAAAAUUAGCGGAUGACCUGUGGCUGGGGGUGAAAGGCCAAUCAAACCGGGAGAUAGCUGGUUCUCCCCGAAAGCUAUUUAGGUAGCGCCUCGUGAAUUCAUCUCCGGGGGUAGAGCACUGUUUCGGCUAGGGGGCCAUCCCGGCUUACCAACCCGAUGCAAACUGCGAAUACCGGAGAAUGUUAUCACGGGAGACACACGGCGGGUGCUAACGUCCGUCGUGAAGAGGGAAACAACCCAGACCGCCAGCUAAGGUCCCAAAGUCAUGGUUAAGUGGGAAACGAUGUGGGAAGGCCCAGACAGCCAGGAUGUUGGCUUAGAAGCAGCCAUCAUUUAAAGAAAGCGUAAUAGCUCACUGGUCGAGUCGGCCUGCGCGGAAGAUGUAACGGGGCUAAACCAUGCACCGAAGCUGCGGCAGCGACGCUGAUGCGUUGUUGGGUAGGGGAGCGUUCUGUAAGCCUGUGAAGGUGUGUCGUGAGGCAUGCUGGAGGUAUCAGAAGUGCGAAUGCUGACA
rnacentral:rRNA from 1 species